rnacentral:rRNA from 1 species
ACGGAGGGGGCGAGCGUUGUCCGGAAUGACUGGGCGUAAAGGGCGCGUAGACGGCUGUCUAAGUCUGGAGUGAAAUUCCUGCUUUCAAGGGGGGAAUUGCUUUGGAGACUGUAUGGCUUGAGUGUGGAAGCGGUAAGUGGAAUGUCCAGUGUAGCGGUGAAAUGCUUAGAGAUUGCGAGGAAUACCGAUUGCGAAGGCAGCUUACUGGGCCAUUAUUGACGCUGAGGCGCGAAAGUGUGGGGAGCGAACAG